UCUUUAGAACAAACANGCGGAAAAGAUCAUUAUUGUCAAGAAAUACGUGCUACCAAAAUUCAAAGUCAUUAUCGAGCCGCCUUCAUUUGUUGCUNUUGACAGCAAACAUGUCAGCGGUAGAAUAUGCGCACGGUAUAACCAUGGCCAACCAGUCAUUGGAGAUCUGAAAGCUGUGAUUGCCAUCGAAAUGAAG
rnacentral:lncRNA from 1 species